rnacentral:rRNA from 1 species
UACGAAGGGGGCUAGCGUUGUUCGGAAUUACUGGGCGUAAAGCGUACGUAGGCGGACUAUUAAGUCAGGGGUGAAAUCCCAGGGCUCAACCCCGGAACUGCCUUUGAUACUGGUAGUCUCGAGUCCGGAAGAGGUGAGUGGAAUUCCGAGUGUAGAGGUGAAAUUCGUAGAUAUUCGGAGGAACACCAGUGGCGAAGGCGGCUCACUGGUCCGGUACUGACGCUGAGGUGCGAAAGCGUGGGGAGCAAACAGG